rnacentral:rRNA from 1 species
AACGAACGCUGGCGGCAUGCCUAACACAUGCAAGUCGAACGAACCCUUCGGGGUUAGUGGCGCACGGGUGCGUAACGCGUGGGAAUCUGCCCUUUGCUUCGGAAUAACUCAGGGAAACUUGUGCUAAUACCGGAUGAUGUCUUCGGACCAAAGAUUUAUCGGCAAGGGAUGAGCCCGCGUAGGAUUAGGUAGUUGGUGGGGUAAAGGCCUACCAAGCCGACGAUCCUUAGCUGGUCUGAGAGGAUGAUCAGCCACACUGGGACUGAGACACGGCCCAGACUCCUACGGGAAGCGGCAGUGGGGAAUAUUGGACAAUGGGCGCAAGCCUGAUCCAGCAAUGCCGCGUGAGUGAUGAAGGCCCUCGGGUCGUAAAGCUCUUUUACCAGGGAUGAUAAUGACAGUACCUGGAGAAUAAGCUCCGGCUAACUCCGUG